rnacentral:sRNA from 1 species
AAGUAAUCAAGCAAUCAAAGGUGGUGAGCAUUCUGGUAAAAGUAAAGAGAUAGUACCCGAGGAUCAAGAAUCGGAGUACUUGGAAUUCGACUCCUGAAAUAUAGCGGGUUCUGUGGGCUAGCCUAUUAGAGGGGUAC